rnacentral:tRNA from 2 species
GCCGUUGUAGCUCAAGCAGAGCACCGUCCGGUCAGGGCGGGUCACGAUGCCGGUUCAAGUCCGGCCAACGGCUCCA